rnacentral:rRNA from 1 species
GGGAUGUUCAUAACCCUUUGUUGUCCGACUCUGUUGCCUCCGGGGCGACCCUGCCUUCGGGCGGGGGCUCCGGGUGGACACUUCAAACUCUGCGUAACUUUGCAGUCUGAGUAAACUUAAUUAAUAAAUUAAAACUUUUAACAACGGAUCUCUUGGUUCUGGCAUCGAUGAAGAACGCAGCGAAAUGCGAUAAGUAAUGUGAAUUGCAGAAUUCAGUGAAUCAUCGAAUCUUUGAACGCACAUUGCGCCCCCUGGUAUUCCGGGGGGCAUGCCUGUUCGAGCGUCAUUUCACCACUCAAGCCUCGCUUGGUAUUGGGCAACGCGGUCCGCCGCGUGCCUCAAAUCGACCGGCUGGGUCUUCUGUCCCCUAAGCGUUGUGGAAACUAUUCGCUAAAGGGUGCUCGGGAGGCUACGCCGUAAAACAACCCCAUUUCUAAGGUUGACCUCGGAUCAGGUAGGGAUACCCGCUGAACUUAAGCAUAUCUA